rnacentral:rRNA from 1 species
AUGAAAUUUAAUUCCACAAAAGAGGCUUGGGGCUUUUGGACUUGUUAUGGAGGUCAUAUUGGUUUUGACGUAAGGGUAAAUUAUGAAAAUAAGAGCAAACUUGAUGGGGCAAUCACUUCCGCGAGAUACAUUUGUUCCAAUGAGGGCUACAGAAGAAUAGACAAAAGAGAUCACAACACCAAGCGUCCUCGUGCAGAAACAAGGGCUGGUUGUAAAGUUCGAAUGGGAAUCACCAUCGACCGAGAAACAUGA